GUACAAAUUUACUGUCACUGAAGGCAAAGGUUCACCAUAUGAAGUUGGUACAAUAAAGGCUACAGACCGUGAUACUGCAAGUUUUGGACAGGUUGAUUACUACUUUGCUGGGGAACAAACAGUGUUUGAUAUAUAUCUUGGAAGGGACAAUGAGGCCGUGAUUUUUGUAGCAGAGAAUGGGGUGUUGGAUUAUGAGACAAAUCC